CUACGGGGGGUGCAAGCGUUAAUCGGAAUUACUGGGCGUAAAGCGCGCGUAGGCGGUUUGCUCAGUCGGAUGUGAAAGCCCAGGGCUCAACCUUGGAACUGCAUACGAUACUGGCAAACUAGAGUGUGAGAGAGGAUAGUGGAAUUUCCGGUGUAGCGGUGAAAUGCGUAGAUAUCGGAAGGAACAUCAGUGGCGAAGGCGACUGUCUGGCUCAACACUGACGCUGAGGUGCGAAAGCGUGGGUAGCAAACAGGAUUAGAAACCCUAGUAGUCC
rnacentral:rRNA from 1 species